rnacentral:misc_RNA from 1 species
UCCCUCUCUUUUUCUUUCCCUCCACAAUUAAAAAUCAGAACUACAAGUAUAAACAACCAAGGGAAAUUACAAGAGGCAGAGGCUGCCAUAAUAACAUUAACUAAAUUAAAAUGCAAGCAACAUCAAAAGGUCAACUCCUAAUGAAAAAAACAUUGUGCGUAGCCUACUCAUUUAAUUACAGUGAACCAAAAUUUCAAGUGCGGUUACACAUUCCUUUACAUGUAACACAUAAUACUAAUGUUCAUAUUUGAAACAAUUCUUACAUUCGGCAUUCGACACUAGUGCCAUGGUUGCAGAAAGGACAACUGAAGACAGUGUCAAGCUUGUCCAUUCUCUUCUUAGGAGGAGGCUUUGCUCUUGACUUCCUCUUUCCCAUAGCUCAAGUCCUACAAUAACAAUAUUAUUUGCUUUAAAAAAAUGCUUACAAAUAACAAAUUUUCACAUUUACUAAAGCACAUCAGUAUGGUCCACUAAAUCAUCUUCCUAACAAUCUUAAAUAAAAACAUUCUACCAUUCUAUCUGAUUUAUAAGGAAUGAAAGAAAAACCAACAAUAAAUUCUCCGUUGGAAGCUGUGUAAAUUCACCCUUUAUUUUAUGGAUUAAAAAUUGUUCCCACAACAAAAGAACACGGAACUGCAAUUUUCUGGCUUGCUUGUGCUCGGAAACUAAACAGAAUUUCUUUUUGCAAAAAGGUUAACCCAAUAUUUACAUUCUCAAUUCAUAAUUAAAUCCUAGAUAAACUAAAAAAAAUUAUCAUGAAAAUAAAUCAACUAUACAAAAAAAAAGAUAUAGGCGAAAAAUCAUCAAAGCAGAAACUUGUUAAUUACUCGAGAUCCCCAAAAAAAACAACAUAUAAUUAAAA